GAAAACUUAAGAGAAAGAUUAAGGGGAAAAUAGAAAUAAAAAACUUAAGGGAAUAUUUAAGGGGAAAAAUUAAGGGGAAAAUUAGAAAGGGGAGCUUAAAAUGCUAUGAAUAGCUAUUUAAGAAAUACACACAAACAUUUGCACACAUAAAACUCACUGAGACGACUUUAUUGCACUCACUCUGUCGAUGGACAAUCACACACUCAGUUUUUUUUUUAAUUUUUAUUUUUUAUCUAAUUUUAUUUUAUUGAAUUUGUUUUAGUUUUAUUUUUCUGAGCUCAGUUGUUAACAGGCCUUGUAUUGUUUAGCUGUAAUCAAUAAGUUUGUAAUGUGAUCACUCUGUGUACUUUUGACGCUCGACACUCCAUAUAAGGAGUUGUUUUUGAGCACAGAACUUAAGGAAAUGAAACCGCAGCUGCGGAGCACACAGACAGCUUCAUGGUUAGGGAGGAUAUGCUGCAGACAGUUUUCAAGACACACACACAAUUUUGUUAAUAUUUACAGCAGGUUCCACCACCACGCCUUCCACCUAGCUCACAGGUGUCGAACUCCAGGCCUGGAGGGCUGUUGUCCUACAUGUUUUCCAACCAACCUGCCUUUGAAGCUUCUUAUUGGCCAAACACAUCUAUGGAAGCGUAUGUGUCCCAAAAAUCAAAAUAAAAGUCAAUACUGGAAAUGCUAAUUCAUUUUCAAAAUGUACCUGCAUUAUGUGUCUCUUAAAUCAAACUAAAAAAAGCAAUUAUCAAAACUGUUUUUGCCUUUUCUUCUUCAACACCGCUCAUUCUGCAACUUAAUUUAAAUGAUGAAGAAAAUGGCAUUUGACAUUAAUUUUCAAAAAGUUCCAUGGUAAUUGUGUAUCAAAAUUCAAUCAUAAACAUCAAACUUUAAAAUUAAAAUGCAUAAACAGAAAUUAUAUUUCAUUUUCGAAAUAUACCUGCAUUAUCUGUCUCUUAAAUCAAAUGAAAAAAGCAAUUCUCAGAACCGUUUUUGCAUUCUCUUCUUCAACACAGCUCCUUCUGUAACAUAAGUAAAGCGACGAAGCAAAUGGAGAUUGCGUUUUCGUUUUAACAUCCAGCCGCGCAAUAAGUGUAACAAAAAUCUAUUGCAAUCUGGAAUGAGCGGUUCCGAGAUAUCGGCGCACCACGAUGACGUCAGGGCUCUCUUUUCGUCGUCUUUUGGUUUUAAUAAAGUUAAAAAAAAAAAAAAAAGCUAGCUUUACCUUCAAACAACAUGGCGUUCCAAAACCUGUGUGCGAAUUAUUUGUUAGAACUAGCGUCCCAGUUGGAGUUUGAAACUGUUUCAGCAUGCGAUACUCGUGACAGACUAGAAUAGCUUUUAGAGAGUUUGGCUGAACACUCUGCCGUCACCGACAUCAGUGUUGAUGAAGUUGUCUUGGCCAACUUGCACUCAGCCCUUCAUCAGGUGGAUGCAAUCGUACCUGGGAGGGGGUGACCUGUCAUCAACAUCUCUUUCCACGUGAUUGAAGGAUAUUUAUUACAUGGUUUCAACGUCAAGGAAAUAUCGGGGGUGUUUGGUGUAAGUCGCCAGACCAUACAUCGGCGGAUGAACGAUAAUGGACUGAGGGGAAAAAUGUCUACACUGAUGACCUCUACUGCUUUUAUGGCCAACUGGAAGGAUCUCCAAGUUGACCUACUGCGCUCCUUGCUGUACCAGGAGAAUCUUUGACCCUGUCUGGAGAACUGGAAGAGACCUUCAGUUCUUUUCUCAGCAGAUGUCAGACAGCUGCUGCAGCAUUUCAUGCUGAUGUCCCCCCGGUCCUCCAAAGCUGUAAAGCUUUGGAGUCUCUGGUGUUCCAGCAGGAGUGGGUGCUCACCUCAUCAUCUCAGCUGCCAGAUUAUUGUCUACCUUUAGAAUCGUUCAACCACGAGAACCAACAACCAACCAUCUCUGGACCUCUCUGCUCAGCUGACUCACAGCCACAGACUUGGUUCUACCUGCUCACCGUGUCCUCUAGAAGGACAAAGGAACGCCGCUCACCUCCCCAUGUUUCCAGCACUUCUGGCCUCGUGAAACCAUGACAGCGACUUCAACAUGGACGGAGAUUCAGUUUCUGGACAGAAGAGGCAUCGCUGCUUCUGCAGGAACUCUGCAGCUGAUCUUCAGGUUCCAGAGACGACCACCUCCACACCUGAAGUCCAGUCAGACAGGAAGUGUCGGCAACAGGAAGAGAGGAGCAGUGAAGACAUUUGAUUCAGAGAGAACCCCCCCCCCCACAAUACUAGGGUUGGGCACCGAAGUUCGGUUCCAAGUAGGAACCGUUAUGAUUUGCGCGGUUCUACCGAAACCGAAAGAUGCGGC